rnacentral:rRNA from 1 species
ACGCUCGACACCUACGGGACAGCAGUAGGGAAUCUUCCACAAUGGGCGCAAGCCUGAUGGAGCAACACCGCGUGAGUGAAGAAGGGUUUCGGCUCGUAAAGCUCUGUUGUUGGAGAAGAACGUGCGUGAGAGUAACUGUUCACGCAGUGACGGUAUCCAACCAGAAAGUCACGGCUAACUACGUGCCAGCAGCCGCGGUAAUCUGAGCGGGCUGGCAAGGC